rnacentral:lncRNA from 1 species
UUAGCCAAUGGAAUGAAACUUCUUGGAAUUACACCUGUAUGUAGAAUGUAAUUUCUAGAUAAAUAUGUUUUUUAUGCAAAUGAGUUCUAGUUGUUAUCAGAUACCUUGCUGUUCAGAAUAGAAUUUAAAGUAUUAUUCUGUCCCAGAAUGUGUGUAGUAGUGUGUUUUUUUGGGGGGGGAGAGAGUUGUUUUUGAGACAGGGUUUCUCUGUGUAGCCCUGGCUGUCCUGAAGCUCACUCUGUAGACCAAGCUGACCCUCACAGAGAUCCACCUGCCUCUGCCUCCUGAGUGGUGAGAUUUUUUUACCUUUUUUUGAUUCAUGUACCCCAAUCUCACUCAUCUCCCCAUCUCCUCCAAAAUAAAAAACACACAACCACAACAAAAGGCAUAGAAAACAUCUCAUGGAAGCUAUAGUAUGUCACCAUGUGUCCCACAAUAUUUCCUUCAGUCCACACAGCUUCACCAGCAAAUGUUCAUUGCAAUGAGUUAUUGGUCUGGUUUGAGGCCUCUGGCUUCUGUGACACCAUCAAUAUUGGGUUCUCAUUGUGUCUUCUCCUGUGGACAGUGGGUCAAGCCAGAAAACUUGGUAGGAUUGAGUGGGUAUGAGACCCAGCAUCAAUGAUCACCUGAGAUGGUAGCUAUCUCUGUGCUCCCUACUAGAUUCCGGGCCUGGAACACAUGACCACAUUCCCCGCAUCCCAUCGGUCACGUAGCCCAGAACAGAGUUCUCCAUGCUAAUGAGGUAUCUAGAGACCCCGGGGUUUAGCCAAUAAGCUUCCCUUACUGAGCACUCCUCCCUGCAAAAGGUACUUAAUCUCUGGUCCACCCUGAGAAGGUGGUAUGUACCCAUUUUUCACGAAGAACAAUCAAUAAAUAGUUUGGAAGCAAGAACUUUCUCUUCCAUGGAGAACCACUGUUGGGGGUCAUGAAGAAGGUCUUUGCCUACAGAGCCACAACCUAAGUCUCCCACAGAAGGGCCCCUCUGUGCUCCCAGACAACCACUGCUAAGCUAAAGACAAUUGCAAAUGAACUAAGCCAGAGUUCCCCAUUCCCCCUGGCUCUGGGCUCAUCGUUGUCCUCAGCCCACGGGCUACUUCCCUCCACCCAGCAGCACCUUGAUGACCAGGAGUUUGGGAACCUCAGGUCCUGUGUUCCUGAUCACAGGCCCCGGCACUUCGGAACCUCACUUCCAACUCCGCUGUGCAAUUUUCCAGUGACAACUGGAUUCCCAGGAGUCAGGGAAGCCCAGCUUCAGCCUCCCACAUCCUGGGCUACGUUUUCCCACCCCCUUAGUGGUUUCUUGGUGCUUCACUCGAGCCCAACACUGGACAACGGUAAACACAGACUAGCGCUCUAUGUUCAGCCUGCCCAACAGAGGGACAAAACAUGGACCCACAUUCUCCUAAUUAUCCUAUUGUUGCCCUGUGUCAUAGAGAUCCUGCAGCUUUGGAUCUGCAAGGUCUGCCCUUUCAUAGGUCCCAACUGUUUGCAGAUGAUACAGAUUUUGGAGUGGGCCAUCUCAGCUCUGGAUUUGGGCCUGGGUGGCAGCACAGCUGGUCAGUGUGCUGGCUGUCCCUUAUCCACACCACCAGAACAGGCUCUCCAGUACUGCUCUGGCUAGACCAUCCCAUGAUCUAUCAUCAGCAGCUCUCUUACUUUAAUGCCAGCUCACCUAUCUCCAUGCCUCCAGAAGCCAGCUCUCCCAAGUGCUGCCGCCUGUAAGGAGCUGGGCUAGCUCUCCUGCUCUCACACCCUGGAGGCUGACUCACCCUUACCUCUGCCAUCAGAACCAUUUCCACUGUGUUGCCCAGGUGAGAUGCAGGGACUGCUCUCCAUAAUGCUAUAGCCAGUGAGGGGGCAGGGCCAGCUCUAUCAACCAUCGCAGGUGGCAAAGGGAGAGGAGGGAAGGGUGGCAUCACACCCAAUGGGGUCAGUGCUCGAAUCCCUCUUGCCCUCAGGGCAGGCCCAUCCUAACUCUUGCACCAGGGCAGGCACAGCUGUGCUUCCCAUGUGCUAUAGCCAGUGAGGGAGCAGGGCCAGCUCUCCCAGCUGCUGCAAGUGGCAAGGGAGCAGGCAUCACCCACGCCAGCUCACAGCAGACAAGUGCUGGGAGAGCUCCUCCUACAUUCUCACCUUGGGGCUGACUCACCCGCCAGUGUCAGCUCUGCUGCCCUGUACAGGCGAGCUGGCCUGCUCUCUCAGGUGCUACCUGGAACCAUGUUGUGGUUUGAAUAUGCCUGGCCCGUGGGAAGUAGCCGAGGGAGGUGUGGUCUUGUUGGAGGGUCACUGUGUAGGUAGGCUUUGAAGGCCCCUAGAGCUCAGGCUCCGCCAGUGUGGAAGAGAGCAAUCACUGGUAGGCAUUGUAUUCAGGUUUUUUGUGAAGUGUCGGCCAGUAUUAAGCCAUAAUUUGAGAUGGAGUGUUGGCUCCCAUGCAUCUGCAUAUAAACAAGGCAGUUUGGCUGAUUUGAGUCAACAGUGUGAGCUUGAUUAAGCAUAAUGUGUUAAGGUUGAUAGCCAGCGUUUCUACUUGGCCUGCUACAUUUAAUCUAAAUGUCAGUAAUACAGUAAUUUUUUUUUUCAAGACAGGGUUUCUCUGUGUAGCCCUGGCUGUCCUGGAACUCACUCUGUAGACCAGGCUGGCCUCGAACUCAGAGAUCCGCCUGCCUCUGCCUCCCGAGUGCUGGGAUUAAAGGCGUGUAGUAAUACAGUUCUAAUGAAGAGGAGUUAGCAUGAGCCAAACAAAGCCUCUGCAGUUGGAGUAGACACUGUUUUAAACUGACAGGUGUGGUCUACCUCUUACUGUAGAAAGCAUUUAUCCACAUCUGUAAGUGACUUGCUAAUUUUCUGCUUACAUAGAGCACCAUUAAGCUUCCGAUAGAAACCAACCGUGGAAUGGACAUAGACAUUUAGGACUUGCUUUAUGUCCACUCUUCCUCAGUGUUUCUCUGGAGAAACUUUCUCCUAGAUCAAUGAGUAUUUAAGCUUGGAGUAAAAUCAUACAGGGACUAAGCCUUGAAAAUAUAGCUCUCUGAAAAGAUUUGUUAUCCUGUAACUCUUACC